UAGGAUAGAGGCCUACCAUGGUGGUAACGGGUAACGGGGUGUUAGGGCACGACACCGGAGAGGGAGCCUGAGAAACGGCUACCACAUCCAAGGAUGGCAGCAGGCGCGCAAAUUACCCAAUCCCGACACGGGGAGGUAGUGACAAUAAAUAACAAUACGGGGUUCUUUAGGAUCUCGUAAUUGGAAUGAGUACAAUUUAAAUCUCUUAACGAGGAACAAUUGGAGGGCAAGUCUGGUGCCAGCAGCCGCGGUAAUUCCAGCUCCAAUAGCGUAUAUUAAAGUUGUUGCAGUUAAAAAGCUCGUAGUUGAAUUUCGGGGUUAGUAGGUUGGUCAUGCCUCUGGUAUGUACUGGUCUCACUGAUUCCUCCUUCCUUAUGAACCGUAAUGCCAUUAAUUUGGUGUUGCGGGGAAUUUGGACUGUUACUUUGAAAAAAUUAGAGUGUUUAAAGCAAGCUAACGCUUGAAUACAUUAGCAUGGAAUAAUGAAAUAGGACGUUCGAUCUUAUUUUGUUGGUUUCUAGGAUUGACGUAAUGAUUAAUAGGGAUAGUUGGGGGCAUUAGUAUUCAAUUGUCAGAGGUGAAAUUCUUGGAUUUAUUGAAGACUAACUACUGCGAAAGCAUUUGCCAAGGAUGUUUUCAUUAAUCAAGAACGAAAGUUAGGGGAUCGAAGACGAUCAGAUACCGUCGUAGUCUUAACCAUAAACUAUGCCGACUAGGGAUCGGAUGA
rnacentral:rRNA from 1 species